rnacentral:rRNA from 1 species
AUGAACGCUAGCUACAGGCUUAACACAUGCAAGUCGAGGGGCAUCAGGAAGAAAGCUUGCUUUCUUUGCUGGCGACCGGCGCACGGGUGAGUAACACGUAUCCAACCUGCCCUUUACUCGGGGAUAGCCUUUCGAAAGAAAGAUUAAUACCCGAUAGUAUAAUGAUUCCGCAUGGUUUGAUUAUUAAAGGAUUCCGGUAAAGGAUGGGGAUGCGUUCCAUUAGGUUGUUGGUGAGGUAACGGCUCACCAAGCCUUCGAUGGAUAGGGGUUCUGAGAGGAAGGUCCCCCACAUUGGAACUGAGACACGGUCCAAACUCCUACGGGAGGCAGCAGUGAGGAAUAUUGGUCAAUGGGCGAUGGCCUGAACCAGCCAAGUAGCGUGAAGGAUGACUGCCCUAUGGGUUGUAAACUUCUUUUAUAUUAGAAUAAAGUGCAGUAUGUAUACUGUUUUGUAUGUAUAAUAUGAAUAAGGAUCGGCUAACUCCGUGCCAGCAGCCGCGGUAAUACGGAGGAUCCGAGCGUUAUCCGGAUUUAUUGGGUUUAAAGGGAGCGUAGGUGGACUGGUAAGUCAGUUGUGAAAGUUUGCGGCUCAACCGUAAAAUUGCAGUUGAUACUGUCAGUCUUGAGUACAGUAGAGGUGGGCGGAAUUCGUGGUGUAGCGGUGAAAUGCUUAGAUAUCACGAAGAACUCCGAUUGCGAAGGCAGCUCACUGGAGUGUAACUGACGCUGAUGCUCGAAAGUGUGGGUAUCAAACAGGAUUAGAUACCCUGGUAGUCCACACAGUAAACGAUGAAUACUCGCUGUUUGCGAUAUACAGUAAGCGGCCAAGCGAAAGCAUUAAGUAUUCCACCUGGGGAGUACGCCGGCAACGGUGAAACUCAAAGGAAUUGACGGGGGCCCGCACAAGCGGAGGAACAUGUGGUUUAAUUCGAUGAUACGCGAGGAACCUUACCCGGGCUUAAAUUGCAGUGGAAUGAUGUGGAAACAUGUCAGUGAGCAAUCACCGCUGUGAAGGUGCUGCAUGGUUGUCGUCAGCUCGUGCCGUGAGGUGUCGGCUUAAGUGCCAUAACGAGCGCAACCCUUAUCUUUAGUUACUAACAGGUCAUGCUGAGGACUCUGGAGAGACUGCCGUCGUAAGAUGUGAGGAAGGUGGGGAUGACGUCAAAUCAGCACGGCCCUUACGUCCGGGGCUACACACGUGUUACAAUGGGGGGUACAGAAGGCAGCUACCUGGUGACAGGAUGCUAAUCCCAAAAGCCUCUCUCAGUUCGGAUCGAAGUCUGCAACCCGACUUCGUGAAGCUGGAUUCGCUAGUAAUCGCGCAUCAGCCACGGCGCGGUGAAUACGUUCCCGGGCCUUGUACACACCGCCCGUCAAGCCAUGGGAGCCGGGGGUACCUGAAGUACGUAACCGCAAGGAGCGUCCUAGGGUAAAACUGGUGACUGGGGCU